UCACUGAAAGAGGAACUUUUUUUUUUUCUUUUUCAAGGUCCCAGGAGCUUGAGCACCGGAGGACUUUACAGGAAAAACUUAAACUCCACAGCCGUACAUUUUGGGACGCCACAGCUGCAUUCUUUGCUUUUGUGAGUAGAUGGGAUUUUGAUUUUGUUGUAUUUUCCUCUUUCACUACAUGCCUGCCCUGAAGCCAGUGUUGAACACAAUCUUCCUGUGUUGGUGGGAAACCUGAAUGACGACAUGCUUUGAGAGGGUGUGUCUCGUCCAUCCAUUCAUCUCAUUCCUCUCCAGUUCUCCUUCCACUCCCUUAAUAUACCAGUGUUUCCUUCCUUCCCUCCUUCAUCCCCAUUUUCUGCAAUGUCCACCACUUUACCUCCUCCCCAACCAAGAGGCAUGGACUACAGCCUCCCCACCUGUGGAGAGACUCGGUGCAAUAGCCAUGGUACUUGUAUUGUUCCUUCUGGUGGUGGUGCCAAUCUGGUGUGUGACUGUGACCUGGGCUACCGCGGCGAAUCCUGUGAGGAUACGGUCAACGGGGCGUUGAGUGUACCACUGACCCUGAGUGUGGUGGGCGUCAUCAUUGGGGUGCUAAUCCUGGCUUUCGUCCUUGCCAAGCUGCGACAGAAGCAAAAGAUGAGACACAGGAGAAAUGUGGCAGAAAAAUAUGGCUAUAACAUUGCUGUGUGAUGAGGAGAAAUCUCCAUUUUAUCUCAGGUCAACCAUGACAUUGUGGCCAGUGACCCUAUUGAGCUUCCACAAGCUUUUCUCUGCAGUGAGCUUGCAGUUUGUUUAAGUGGGAAUCUUGCAAAAAUGGAAUCAGGGUUUACUCUUUUACUGUGAUGCCUGACCGCUGACUACUCCUGUAUGACUAAUGCUGCAGCAUGCCAGAAACUCCAAUACUGAACUUAUGAACUGAACUUUUACUCUGCAAGGGAGUUGGCUGAGGGAUCAGUCUGUUCUGUCCAACUGUGGGCGACACCCUGAUUUACAUCGACUGUUUAAUUCUGCACACUGCCAGUCCAUUGUGAUUUAUAAAGGAGGUAGUGACAAAUAGUGACACAACUUCACUUCUGUAACUAUGUUUUACAUAUUUCAGUCAAUGAUGGAAGAAUCACUUCAAUUUAUAUCCCAGCAGACAAAUGGCAUGCAUGUAACUUACAAACCCCCCCCACCCACCCCAGA